AUCUAAUCUAUAUAUACAUUUUUG
rnacentral:snRNA from 1 species